AUCUUUAAAGAUGUCAUUAUGCAGCAUAUUCAACUGUCUCCUAACACAUUAUUUGUAAAGUUUUUGAUUGUCUUUAUGUAUUCCUUUAAAUAUAAUGUAGCAUAUCCAUAUAGGUAGCUUCAUAACAGUUGCUUAAUGUGAAUUCCAGCCUGCACUAUCCUCUUAUAAGCUGAAGAUAAGAGAAUUGUCAUUCUUGAUCUAUUCAGGUUCCAUAAUAGGAACUUUACAGAAGGUUUUAUGUAUAAAAC
rnacentral:lncRNA from 1 species